ACAAACUCUUUCGUUUUCUGCUUUCCUCCCUCAUUUUUUUUUUUCUUUUCAUUUUUUCAUAUUUCUUUUU
rnacentral:ribozyme from 1 species